rnacentral:rRNA from 1 species
ACCGGCAGCUCUAGUGGUAGCAGUUUUUAUUGGGCCUAAAGCGUCCGUAGCCGGUUUAAUAAGUCUCUGGUGAAAUCCUGCAGCUUAACUGUGGGAAUUGCUGGAGAUACUAUUAGACUUGAGAUCGGGAGAGGUUAGAGGUACUCCCAGGGUAGAGGUGAAAUUUUGUAAUCCUGGGAGGACCGCCUGUUGCGAAGGCGUCUGACUGGAACGAUUCUGACGGUGAGGGACGAAAGCUAGGGGCGCGAACCG